rnacentral:SRP_RNA from 1 species
GCCGAGCUGGGUAACAUCAGCUUGUAACCCAAGUGGGGGCAUUAAUGUGGUGGAACAUGGCUCAGGUUUCAUUGGGUUGGGUUGGUUGCUUCAAAUUCUGGCUUGCCCACUCCAAGUUGAGAGUUGAUAUAUGCGGGCCUGGCUGUAGGCCUAAGUCACGUAUAUCCUAAAUUGAAAGACAUCGCGUGAGGCUGGCUUAACAGAGCAGCGUAACUUUCAGCUCUCGACAGUGGAGGGAUAACAGGCUGCUGUACUUCUGGCCCAAUGUGCCUAGUGAGCCUAGCUAGUUGAACCACCGCUUUU